GAUGAACUUUUAGAAAUGAUUAAAAUUACAUACUUACAUCCAUUUGUUUUUGAAAAAAGCAUUUACCUUGAGAAUCAAGGGUCAGAUUCUUUACAGAAGAGCCC